GGGUCAGUAGGUUGGUCGUGCCACCGGUACGUACUGGUCUCACUGAUUCCUCCUUCCUGAAGAACCGUAAUGCCAUUUAUUUGGUGUUGCGGUGAAACAGGACUGUUACUUUGAAAAAAUUAGAGUGUUUAAAGCAAGCUAACGCUUGAAUACAUUAGCAUGGAAUAAUGAAAUAGGACGAUCGAUCAUAUUUUGUUGGUUCCUAGGAUUGACGUA
rnacentral:rRNA from 1 species